rnacentral:rRNA from 1 species
AGCGAACGUUAGCGGCGGGCCUAACACAUGCAAGUCGAGCGAGAAAGUGGCUUCGGCCACGAGUAAAGCGGCGGACGGGUGAGUAACACGUAGGUAAUCUUCCCUUGAGCGGGGGACAACGAGCCGAAAGGCUCGCUAAUACCGCAUACGUUUCCAGAGGCCCCGGUCUCUGGAAGGAAAGCUAGGCCGCAAGGUCUGGCACUCGAGGAGGAGCCUGCGUCGCAUCAGCUAGUUGGUGGGGUAACGGCCUACCAAGGCGAAGACGCGUAGCUGGGCUGAGGGGAUGAUCAGCCACGCUGGGACUUGGACACGGCCCAGACUCCUACGGGAGGCAGCAGUGGGGAAUAUUGGACAAUGGGCGCAAGCCUGAUCCAGCCACGCCGCGUGAGUGAUGAAGGCCUUCGGGUCGUAAAGCUCUGUGGGGAGGGACGAACCGCUGCACGUUCAUAGCGUGCAGCAUGACGGUACCUCCUUAGCAAGCACCGGCUAACUUCGUGCCAGCCGCCGCGGUAA